rnacentral:rRNA from 1 species
GGGUGGGGAAGUAACUUAGGGAAACUUAAAGCUAAUACUGCAUAAUGCGAUAACUUCUUCGGAAGAUUUGUUAAGAUUUAUCGCCUGAAGAGCAGCCUGCGGCAGAUUAGCUAGUUGGUAAGGUAACGGCUUACCAAGGCUACGACGCGUAGCCGGACUGAGAGGUUGGCCGGCCACAUCGGGACUGAGACACUGCCCGG